rnacentral:ncRNA from 1 species
AUGAAUAGUUGGCAAACCAGAUGAAAAUCUGGGACGCAAAGCUACGGGUCUAAAGAUGUUUUGUCUAUGAUCGCCGGGUUGCACAU